rnacentral:rRNA from 1 species
GAGUUUGAUCAUGGCUCAGGAUGAACGCUGGCGGCGUGCCUAACACAUGCAAGUCGAACGGGGGUAGCAAUACUCCAGUGGCGGACGGGUGAGGAACACGUAGCUAACCUGCCCCGGAGAUGGAACUAACGCCGCGAAAGCGGCGCUAAUGUCCAGUACGCUGUGCGGCUGUAGAGGCGGCACAGGAAAGGCGCAAGUCGCUCUGGGAGGGGGCUGCGGCCCAUCAGGUAGUUGGGGUGGUAAAAGCACACCAAGCCGACGACGGGUCGGGGGUCUGAGAGGAUGACCCCCCACACUGGGACUGAGACACGGCCCAGACUCCUACGGGAGGCAGCAGUGAGGGAUCUUGCACAAUGGGGGAAACCCUGAUGCAGCGACGCCGCGUGGGUGAAGACGGCCUUCGGGUUGUAAAGCCCUUUUGCCCGUGACGAGGUAGGACGGUAGCGGGAGAAGAAGCCUCGGCUAACUACGUGCCAGCAGCCGCGGUAAAACGUAGGAGGCAAGCGUUAUCCGGAGUGACUGGGCGUAAAGCGCGCGCAGGCGGCGGGCUAAGUGGUGCCUGAAAGCUCCUGGCUCAACCGGGAGAGGCGGCAGCAGACUGGCUGGCUGGAGGGGUACAGAGGAGCGUGGAAUUCCGGGUGUAGCGGUGAAAUGUGCAGAGAUCCGGANGAACACCAGCGGUGAAAACGGCGCUCUGGGUACUUACUGACGCUGANGCGCGAAAGUGUGGGGAGCGAACGGGAUUAGAGACCCCGGUNNNNNACGCNGUAAACGAUGUCGACUAAGUGCGUGCGAGCCGAAAGGGGAGUGCGUGCUGGAGCCAACGCGGUAAGUCGACCGCCUGGGGAGUACGGUCGCAAGAUUAAAACUCAAAGGAAUUGACGGGGGGCCGCACAAGCAGCGGAGCGUGUGGUUUAAUUCGAGGCUACACGAAGAACCUUACCCGGGUUUGACAUCCUCUUGGUAGGAGGCGGAAAUGCCGACGACCCGCAAGGGAGAGGGGACAGGUGCUGCAUGGCUGUCGUCAGCUCGUGUCGUGAGAUGUUCGGUUAAGUCCGAAAACGAGCGCAACCCCUGAGGCCAGUUACAGGUGUCUGGCCUGACUGCCUGGGAGAACCAGGAGGAAGGUGGGGAUGACGUCAAGUCAGCAUGGCCUUGAUGUCCGGGGCUACACACACGCUACAAUGGGCGGUACAACAGGAUGCGAAGGGGCGACCCGGAGCCAAUCCUCCAAAGCCGCUCGCAGUUCGGAUUGCAGGCUGCAACUCGCGUGCAUGAAGGUGGAGUUGCUAGUAACCGUGCGUCAGCCACAGCGCGGUGAAUACGUUCCCGGCCCUUGUACACACCGCCCGUCACGUCAUGGGAGUUGGCAAUGCCUGAAGUCGAGGAGCCGACCGGAAGGGGGCAGUCGCCGAGGGCAGGGCUGAUGACUGGGACGAAGUCGUAACAAGGUAGCUGUAGCGGAAGCUGCGGAUGGA